GCCAACUGGGUGUAGUUGGCUAGAGCGCGCGAUAAUCUCCAUUGUAGCUGCGGGUUCGAAUCCCGCCAGCGGCA